ACGCACGACUAUGAGGUCAAGAUGCGUAACGUGAUCAAGUUCCUGGAAAAAGGCGACAAGGUGAAGGUCACCCUGCGCUUCCGUGGCCGCGAAAUGGCGCACCAGAACCUGGGCCGUGAGCUGCUGCUGCGUGUUGCCGAGGACAUCAAAGAACUGGGCAAAGUUGAAAACAUGCCCAAGAUGGAAGGCCGCCAGAUGAUCAUGAUGAUCGGCCCGCUGAACAAGUAAGCCAGAUCCAGAUCUGAUGUUUUUCGAAACGCCCCUGCCAUAGACGCGGGGGCGUUUUUUAUUGCGCCCUCUUGAUUGCACAGA
rnacentral:misc_RNA from 1 species